CAGAUCCAGACCCCAGAAAAGGUGUUGGGUGAUACAGACAGCAGGAUGGUGGCUGUGGAAGUCAGAACCCACUAAGGAGUGUGUAACAACUCAACUGCCCAAUCAACCAGCCCUGAAAAUGGAUGGCGCUGGAG
rnacentral:ncRNA from 1 species